GAGUCCAGGCUUCUGCCACAAGGCGUCUGAGCCUAUGGUUCCCUCCUACUGUACCAUCUAGCACUGCUCCACUGUGACCGGUGACAUCUGCAUCACCAGGGGGAAAGGCAGAAGCUCAGGGCCUCCAGGCAGAUUUGCUGAAUCUGCAUUCUGACAAAUCCCCAGAUGACUCAAGAGCACAGCUGACUUUGCAUAGCUCUGCCAAACUGCCACCUCAGGGGGCUGAACCUCAGACAGGCUGCAGGGGAAGCGGGGCGGGCAGGAGGAGGACGGCCUGGAGGAGCAGGAGCCCAUGGGAAGCUGAGCCUUCAAUCUGGUGGGCUGGGGAGGCCAGGCCAGGGCAGCUGGAGAGCACAGUGAUCAGCAUCUUACUUCUGCUAUUGAGGGCAAUGGAAGCUGGACAGUAGCCCAUUCCAGGGCAACCUUCUCUAGGAACGUGGGGGUGCUUAGUGGCUAAUCUCUCCUUGUUCGUCACAGGGUCCCUGGAGCCUGAUGGGAAGCAGAGGCAUUAUCUUCAUUUUCCAGAUGGUUUUAGAGGGGCUGGGAGGAGGGAGGCUGGGAUGUUGCCAGCCUAGUGAGAAAGCUCAGAGCUCCCUCCUCAGCCUAAUGAUGCCAGCUGGCUCUCAGGCCAGAUAGGAAGGCUGUGUCCAGACACACCAUCAUUCCAGAUCUCCGGAGAGUUGCCAUUUGGGCUGUUGGAUUCUCUCACUCAGCUGAGGCCCUGCAUGGGGGCUCCUCGGAGUGACAUGCCUCUUCUCUUUCCCGCUCACACCUCUGAUGCCCUCAAGACCCUUGAUCUCAGUGCGAAGUAAGGAGCUUAGUGUACUUCAUGUAUGGAUUUGCUGCAUACUUCAGUGAUUAGAAUGAACUUCCUCAAGAAGAGGAUCUGUAGCCUUCAGGACGGACUGCCUCGUAAAGUGCCAAGGACUCCAGAGAAAGGACACCAAAAUAGCUAUAAAGGGAAGGAGUCCUCAGGGCAGCGUUUCUGAGGCUCCUUACCCAGAACAAGGAAGCUGCUGAAGCGAGCGUGGGGCUGUUGGGCUUCUGUGUGAAGCGAGCUGGAGAGAUGGAAGAUGAGACCUUGUGACUGAUGCACACACUCAGCCUCAAUGACCCGGUCUGAGGAUAAAAGAUCCCUGAGCAAGUGGAACAUGGACAUUGCAGGGAACAGCAAACACACCAUCAAAGUCUGAGCCCCGUGGAAGUGAUGUCUGAGUAACACGCGAUACUUGAGGUUAGACCAAAUGAUGUUUUCCUGGGAGAAGCAGAACACGCCAAGCCUGCCUCCACGCAUGGUGGUGUCUAUGGUGACCCCGGAGUCAGCCACCAGCUCGGAGCCUUCAUAGAAUCGCACCCUGCAAACAACACAGCCGGAGGGGGUCUCCGUGAAACUCAAACCAAGGUCAGGGUGAAGUGCCCAUUGUGAGACCCCGGGGCCCCACUUCUUACACACCUGUGUACUCCUGGACUGUGCUCUCCUGUUCCCCCUUCCCUACUAGACUGGAAACUCCAUGAGGUCAGGGACCAUGUGUCCAUGUCCUCCCAUUUUCUGUCUCUCCAAAGACCUUGCACGAUGUUGGGCACUGAGUCCAACUUGAUGGGUACUCACUGAGUUAGAGAGAAAUCAAGUACGACCCAGGACCAGGAGGCUUUGUGACUUCACUGUCCGCAAAAAAAACUUGUUUUGGGCAUCGUUAAACUCCUAUUACUAACCUCAGAGGGACUUCGCAGCAUGUGAGAUUAAUCCAGAGGCCCUCAGAUCUCCUGCAAGGUGCUUCCCAUCACCUCCAAGCCCAAGCCUGCAACCUCCCCUCCUCUGCUGUCAGGGGUAAGGAAUAGCAAACAACUGAGCCGGUGGGCUCUGCGGGUUCUUCUAGACACUGGUCUCAACCAGUCUUUGCAGAGGGGAGUUCAGCCUCGAGUUUGAAUCCCCUUGGAUCCUACUAACCUGGUUAGGGUUGCUGACAUCAGGACAGCUGUCACAGGCGUCCCCCACACCAUCUCCAUCUCUGUCCCGCUGGUCACGAUUGGAAACUUUUGGGCAGUUGUCUAGGAUAUUCUUUAUUCCUAGGAGAAAAGGAACGCUUCCCUGAGUCAGGCGAACAUCACAGACUGGUGUGGAACACAGACUUCUAGAUGCUGCAGACAUCAGGGCUACCACCUUUGUCAGCAGUUACCUGGAGAAAUCAUGGGAUGCAACCUGUACUUUGAUGACAGUCGUGUAUGUAUCAUGGAAGCUAUACAGGAACACGUGUCUUUCCUCAAGUCCUGGGAGGCUCCAGAGUUGUGCUCCAGGGGUGCCACUCACACAGAUCACAAGACGAGGCCCUGCAGUGGACCCUCAAGCUGGGCAAUACAGCUGCCCCGCCCAACAGCUCUUCCCAGAAUGGGAGGGGCUGUCCGGUCUCCUGGGAAAUGCCCGAUUCUCUGCAGGAGGAGCCUAACCGGGGGCUGCAGACUGUGACCCUGCUCAGUCCCUGUCGCUCAGUCCUCCCCUUCCAGGACUCUCACACUUGAGAAGGAUGGCUCUCUUCCGCCAGCCCUGGUAUGUGGCAGUUCACAGGCGCUCCCAGCAAAGCAGGAACCUACCUGCUCGUUCAGGAUCCCAUCUCCAUCAGCAUCGUCAUCACAGGCGUCUCCAAUGCCAUCUCCAUCGGCAUCCUCUUGGCCAGAAUUUGGCACGUACUUGCAGUUGUCCUAAGUCGGAGGAACACAGCUCAGAGAGACACCUACAUCUGUCUUGUCUUUCAGCUUACUGAGGUAUAACUGACAAAUAAAAUUGUAAGAUAUUUAAA